rnacentral:rRNA from 1 species
ACAGCAGUGGGGAAUAUUGGACAAUGGGGGCAACCCUGAUCCAGCAAUGCCGCGUGAGUGAAGAAGGCCUUAGGGUUGUAAAGCUCUUUCACCCGUGAAGAUGAUGACGGUAGCGGGAGAAGAAGCCCCGGCUAAUUCCGUGCCAGCAGCCGCGGUAAUACGGAAGGGGCUAGCGUUGUUCGGAAUUACUGGGCGUAAAGAGCGCGUAGGCGGCUCUUCAAGUUAGGCGUGAAAGGCCUGGGCUCAACCUGGGAACUGCGUUUAAUACUGGAGAGCUUGAGUCCGGGAGAGGGUGGUGGAAUUCCCAGUGUAGAGGUGAAAUUCGUAGAUAUUGGGAGGAACACCAGUGGCGAAGGCGGCCACCUGGCCCGGAACUGACGCUGAGGCGCGAAAGCGUGGGGAGCAAACAGGAUUAGAUACCCUGGUAGUCCACGCCGUAAACGAUGAGUGCUAGAUGUCGGGGAGCUUGCUCUUCGGUGUCGCA